GGGAUUGUGGCUCAGCGGUAGAGCGCUUGCCUCACAUGUGCAAGACCCUGGGUUCAAUCCUCAGCACCA
rnacentral:tRNA from 1 species